GAUGAAGAACGCAGCGAAAUGCGAUAAGUAGUGUGAAUUGCAGAAUUCAGUGAAUCAUCGAAUCUUUGAACGCACAUUGCGCCCCCUGGUAUUCCGGGGGGCAUGCCUGUCCGAGCGUCAUUACAACCCUCAAGCUCAGCUUGGUGUUGGGCCCCGCAGCCCCGGCGGGCCCUAAAGUCAGUGGCGGUGCCGUCCGGCUCCGAGCGUAGUAAUUCUUCUCGCUCUGGAGGUCCGGUCGUGUGCUCGCCAGCAACCCCCAAUUUUUUUCAGGUUGACCUCGGAUCAGGUAGGGAUACCCGCUGAACUUAAGCAUAUCAAUAAGCGGAGGA
rnacentral:misc_RNA from 1 species